GGAGAGUCGGACCUGCCCAGUGAAUUGUUUUAACGGCCGCGGUACUCUGACCGUGCAAAGGUAGCAUAAUCAUUUGCCCUAUAAUUGAGGGCUAGUAUGAAUGGUUUGACAAGAACAAAGCUGUCUCUUUAAAAUUAGUUAGAAUUUAAUCUUUAGGUGAAGAAGCCUAAAUUGAAUUGAUAGACAAGAAGACCCUAUCGAGCUUUAAAUAAAUAUUUAAAAGAUAAAAAAUUAAUUAAUAUUUUUAAUUAAAUUAUAUUUUAGUUGGGGCGACUUAGGAACAAAUAAAGCUUCUUUAUAUACUAAAGACUUUUAAGUGUUGAUCCAAAAUUUUUGAUUAAAAGAAUUAGUUACCGUAGGGAUAACAGCAUAAUCUUUUUUGAGAGCUCUUAUCGAAAAAAAGGUUUGUGACCUCGAUGUUGGACUAAAGUAUCCUGAAGAUGCAGAAGUCUUCAAGGGUUGGUCUGUUCGACCAUUAUAACUUU
rnacentral:rRNA from 1 species